UACGGAGGGUGCAAGCGUUGUCCGGAUUUAUUGGGUUUAAAGGGUGCGCAGGUGGCCUUGUAAGUCUGACCUGAAAGUGGGCCGCUCAACGGCACAGGGUGGUUGGAUACUGCAGGGCUUGAAGGGGUCGGAGGUUGCCGGAACGGAUGGUGUAGCGGUGAAAUGCAUAGAGAUCAUCCAGAACGCCAAUUGCGUAGGCAGGUGGCUACGACCUACUUGACACUGAGGCACGAAAGCGUGGGGAGCAAACA
rnacentral:rRNA from 1 species